AUUGAACGCUGGCGGCAGGCUUAACACAUGCAAGUCGAGCGAGCGGCGGACGGGUGAGUAAUGUCUGGGAAACUGCCUGACGGAGGGGGCUAACUACUGGAAACGGUAGCUAAUACCGCAUACCGUCAUUUGUGCCCUGAUGGGAUUAGCUAGUAGGUGGGGUAAUGGCUCACCUAGGCGACGAUCCCUAGCUGGUCUGAGAGGCUGACCAGCCACACUGGAACUGAGACACGGGCCAGACUCCUACGGGAGGCAGCAGUGGGGAAUAUUGCACAAUGGGCGCAAGCCUGAUGCAGCCAUGCCGCGUGUGUGAAGAAGGCCUUCGGGUUGUAAAGCACUGUCAGCGAGGAGGCGUUACUCGCAGAGGAAGCACCGGCUAACUACGUGCCAGCAGCCGCGGUAAUAC
rnacentral:rRNA from 1 species